rnacentral:lncRNA from 1 species
GACGGGAAUGAGCCGGGAUCGUGGGCUGCAGUGACCUCGCCAAUGUGGUUCCUUGACAUGUUGCAAACUGUAUUUUGUAUGUCCGCACACAUUUUCUUUUUCUCUCCACCAGGCUGGCCUAAAACUCACCAUGUAGCUGAAGAUGACUUCUAAUCCUUCUGCUUGCACCUCCAGUGUUGGAAUUUCCGUACGCGUGCGCAACCGUGCCUGGUUUUACGGUUUCUGGGCAUCAAAACUGAGAGCCUGGUGCAUGUCAGGCACACACUCUUAACAACCAAGCCGUAGCCCUGGCUUGCGUGUACAUAUCUGAAUGUGACUCUUGGCUGACAGUUUCCAGGUUGCCCAGGUCCUACACCCGGGUGUCCCCCCUCACGGGAUCUAAGUGGGGAAAGCCCAGAAGACUGAAGUCAUUAACACAAAUCAAGACAUGAGAGUAGAUCAGGACAUGAUGAAAACCUUACAGAGCUGAAAGCUAGUCAGCUUUUGUUUACCCUCGACGGGCUUUUCAAGUGUUCUGGGGCAGAUUUCCCUGAUGAUUUAGAGGUUGCAGCGGGGUCCCUUGGCGCAGACUGGGGUUCGGGCAAGAAGGAAGAGGAGAGACCACACUUGGCGUCCUGCGAGUCAGCGAUGGUGGAUGUGUCAGCCUCGCUGGACAGGUCCUCCGUGGAGAAGUUGAGACUUCCCAGCUUGGCAAGGGAAUGGGACCUUUUCAGCGGGGACGACACGGUGAGGCCUGCCAGGCGCAGCCGCGUCUCGAUCUCCUGCGCCCGCUGCUUCACCAGCCCAGGCUUCCCUCGGACGCUGUGGAUGCUGUCGCUGCUGGAGCUCCGGGUCAGGUUGG